rnacentral:rRNA from 1 species
GUAAUACGAAGGGACCUAGCGUAGUUCGGAAUUACUGGGCUUAAAGAGUUCGUAGGUGGUUGAAAAAGUUGGUGGUGAAAUCCCAGAGCUUAACUCUGGAACUGCCAUCAAAACUUUUCAGCUAGAGUUUGAUAGAGGAAAGCAGAAUUUCUAGUGUAGAGGUGAAAUUCGUAGAUAUUAGAAAGAAUACCAAUUGCGAAGGCAGCUUUCUGGAUCAUUACUGACACUGAGGAACGAAAGCAUGGGUAGCGAAGAGGAUUAGAUACCCUCGUAGUCCAUGCCGUAAACGAUGUGUGUUAGACGUUGGAAAUUUAUUUUCAGUGUCGCAGCGAAAGCGAUAAACACACCGCCUGGGGAGUACGACCGCAAGGUUAAAACUCAAAUGAAUUGACGGGGACCCGCACAAGUAGUGGAGCAUGUGGUUUAAUUCGAAGAUACGCGCAGAACCUUACCAACACUUGACAUGUUCGUCGCGACUUUAAGAGAUUAAAGUUUUCGGUUCGGCCGGACGAAACACAGGUGCUGCAUGGCUGUCGUCAGCUCGUGUCGUGAGAUGUUGGGUUAAGUCCCGCAACGAGCGCAACCCUCACUUUUAGUUGCCAUCAUUUAGUUGGGCACUCUGAAAGAACUGCCAGUGAUAAGCUGGAGGAAGGUGGGGAUGACGUCAAGUCCUCAUGGCCCUUACGUGUUGGGCUACACACGUGCUACAAUGGUAUUUACAACAGGAAGCAAGACGGCGACGUUUAGCAAAUCCUUAAAAAAUACCUCAGUUCGGAUUGCACUCUGCAACUCGAGUGCAUGAAGCUGGAAUUACUAGUAAUCGUGGAUCAGCGUGCCACGGUGAAUGCGUUCCCGGGUCUUGUACACACCGCCCGUCACACCAUGGGAGUUGGUUCUACCUUAAGGCAAGGUUUAAUACCCUUGACCACGGUAUAGUCAGCGACUGGGGUGAAGUCAUAACAAGGUAACCGUA